rnacentral:lncRNA from 1 species
CCUGCCUCAGCCUCCCAAAGUGCUGCGAUUACAGGUGUGAACUACUGGGCCCAGCCCCAGGCCCUCUUACAGGAGUGGGCUGCCUAGAAACAUUCCAGUGCCAUAUCCCACUCCACUCCGGGUGCAGGGACAGGACCCCUGCCACCCCCAACCCAGGCCCAAAAGGAGGGGCCAGGAGGGGAGGGGCCACCAAGGCAGGUUAACGUUCCACAACAAAGAAAGUAGCACUUAACAUCCAGAGGAAACAGAGAUAGGAGAAAGGGUUCACGAACCAGUCCAGGAGAGUGAAGAAGACACAAGAAGAAGACAGAAACCUCCUGGUCUGGGCCAGUCUGUGGAUCUUGCAAGGAUGUCUUCGAGGUGGUGGAGCCUCAGGCGGCAGAUGGUGAGUUCUGCUGGGGCCUUUCCUUCUGCAAUCACAGAGGCCUCCCGUGAGAAGUGACAUCUGAAGAGUGCGCUUGCUUGCGUCCUCAUCUGUUUGGAUGCAGGCUUUAUUUUUAACUUGUUUAUUAAGCAAAACAUCUUACCUUUGUUGGCCAAGUGCCCUGUAAGAUAUACAAUGGAGUCUCUAAGAUGGAGUUAGUUAUGCCAAGGGUGCUGUGUGCAUGGGGGCACACAUUAGUGGCUCACAGCUGUGACUCCCUCCAGGCCCCUCAAGAAGAAAUUCAUGACAGAGAACACGGCCAGAGUUCAGUCCUCAGUUCCCCCUUAUCUGGGUCUCUGUGAUAGCAGUCGGCAUUUUCCACCGGGUGGGGGUUUCUGAAAGACUUGAGAAUGUAUGUUAUGCUUUAGUUUCUAUAGGGAAGCAAACCACCUGUGGCUGUGGCCUGCUUGGGAGACCCGUGCUCCCGUCGCCUUCCUGGCAGGCUGCUCACUUACCUUUCAAGGCUGGCAAGGUGACUGGAAUUUCCCUUGAAGGGAUUCAAGAGUGUUCCUUGAUUUCCAAGCUUGGGAGAGCCUGGCAGGCACCUAGGAGGGGUCCCUGCUCCAUCUCACUAUGUUGCCCAUGUGGGUCUUGAACUCCUGGGCUCCAGCCGUCCUCCUGCCUCAGCCUUCUGAGUAGUGGGGACUACAGCUGUGGGCCACUGUGUAACCGCCCAGUGGGUUCGCCUCAUUGUAUUCACUCCUUUCCAGGUUUGUAUUUAUGGUAUGAAUUUUAAUUUCACCACAAAAACUUAAAUCUCCCACAAGACAGAACUUUUUUUUUUUUUUUGAGACGGAGUCUUGCUCUGUCGCCCAGGCUGGAAUGCAAUGGCGUGAGAGGCCUUCUGGGUUCAAGUGAUUCUCCCAUCUCAGCCUCCCUAGUAGCUGGGAUUACAGGCAUGUGCCACCACAC